GGAGGAUUAGCUCAGCUGGGAGAGCAUCUGCCUUACAAGCAGAGGGUCGGCGGUUCGAUCCCGUCAUCCUCC
rnacentral:tRNA from 1 species